CACAACCUGUUGAAGGGUUGUCUCUCUGACUGGGUGUCUCUUUGAAGAGCUUUGAAGGAGACUCUCUGACUGAGGGGUGUCACAAACAUCCUUGUAGCUGGUGUGCACAUGCCAGGCUCACCUUGAGGCUGUCGUCCUCAUUCAAGCAAGUUUCACCCUGAUGUACAAGUGAAUCCCCACUGGUGGCCACUUGAUGAAGCGCCACGCUCCCGCACUGUGAUUUUGUGCAAGGCGGCCAGCUGUCUACCCACAUGAACAUAUUCAUCUGUCAGGUGGUCCAAGUCUCUGGCCUUUUUUUUUCUUUCUCCACUUCGCUCCUCUCUGGAGGGUCCAGCCAAGCUUCAAAAAGACUGGCAGAGACGUCACCUCCCCACCACCGCCGGCCCCCAGAUGGAGAGUUACAAGGUUGCUUUAUAUUUCUGCCGUGAAGAAGUGAAAGCCGGUCAUCAAACGCGCUUUCAAACAUGACAUCACGCCCCUCCCACUCGCCCCCAGGGCGGCCAAACUCACUCGGAGUCUGACCUUGAAGGUCAACGCAGUAUUAUUUGUAAAGUGCACAUGUGGAGCUUCGAAGAAAUAAAAUCUUUGGACCCUGUGAAUCUCA
rnacentral:lncRNA from 1 species